GAUGAACGCUGACAGAAUGCUUAACACAUGCAAGUCUACUUGAACUUCGGUUUGGGUGGCGGACGGGUGAGUAACGCGUAAAGAACUUGCCUCACAGUUAGGGACAACAUUUGGAAACGAAUGCUAAUACCUGAUAUUAUGAUUUUAGGGCAUCCUAAGAUUAUGAAAGCUAUAUGUGCUGUGAGAGAGCUUUGCGUCCCAUUAGCUAGUUGGAGAGGUAACGGCUCACCAAGGCGAUGAUGGGUAGCCGGCCUGAGAGGGUGAACGGCCACAAGGGGACUGAGACACGGCCCUUACUCCUACGGGAGGCAGCAGUGGGGAAUAUUGGACAAUGGACCAAAAGUCUGAUCCAGCAAUUCUGUGUGCACGAUGACGUUUUUCGGAAUGUAAAGUGCUUUCAGUUGGGAAGAAAAAAAUGACGGUACCAACAGAAGAAGUGACGGCUAAAUACGUGCCAGCAGCCGCGGUAAUACGUAUGUCACAAGCGUUAUCCGGAUUUAUUGGGCGUAAAGCGCGUCUAGGUGGUUAUGUAAGUCUGAUGUGAAAAUGCAGGGCUCAACUCUGUAUUGCGUUGGAAACUGCAUGACUAGAGUACUGGAGAGGUAAGCGGAACUACAAGUGUAGAGGUGAAAUUCGUAUAUAUUUGUAGGAAUGCCGAUGGGGAAGCCAGCUUACUGGACAGAUACUGACGCUAAAGCGCGUGAGCGUGGGUAUCAAACAAG
rnacentral:rRNA from 1 species